rnacentral:misc_RNA from 1 species
UUUCCGUAGGUGAACCUGCGGAAGGAUCAUUAAAGAAUCGCCCCGUUUUUUAUAAAUGGGUUCUAUUCCCAAACCGUGUAUACAUACCUUUGUUGCUUUGGCAGGCCGCCUCCGGGCGUCGGCUCCGGCUGAUAGUGCCUGCCAGAGGACCCAAACUCUGUGUUUAGUGAUGUCUGAGUACUAUAUAAUAGUUAGAACUUUCAACAACGGAUCUCUUGGUUCUG